AUUGAACGCUGGCGGCAUGCUUUACACAUGCAAGUCGAACGGUAACAGGUCUUCGGAUGCUGACGAGUGGCGAACGGGUGAGUAAUGCAUCGGAACGUGCCCCAGUCGUGGGGGAGUAACGCAGCGAAAGCUGCGCUAAUACCGCAUACGAUCUAUGGAUGAAAGACGGGGGACCGGUAAGGCCUCGCGCGAUUGGAGCGGCCGAUGUCAGAUUAGGUAGUUGGUGGGGUAAAGGGCUCACCAAGCCAACGAUCUGUAGCUGGUCUGAGAGGACGACCAGCCACACUGGGACUGAGACACGGCCCAGACUCCUACGGGAGGCAGCAGUGGGGGAAUUUUGGACAAUGGGCGCAAGCCUGAUCCAGCAAUGCCGCGUGCAGGAAGAAGGCCUUC
rnacentral:rRNA from 1 species